rnacentral:rRNA from 1 species
UACGAAGGGGGCUAGCGUUGUUCGGAAUUACUGGGCGUAAAGCGCACGUAGGCGGAUACUUUAGUCAGAGGUGAAAGCCCAGGGCUCAACCUUGGAAUUGCCUUUGAUACUGGCUGUCUUGAGUUCGGGAGAGGUGAGUGGAAUGCCGAGUGUAGAGGUGAAAUUCGUAGAUAUUCGGCGGAACACCAGUGGCGAAGGCGACUCACUGGCCCGAUACUGACGCUGAGGCGCGAAAGCGUGGGGAGCAAACAGG